CUUUAUUUUACUUUCUCAUAAUCUAAUCAAAUAUAAAAAUUGUACAUUCCAAAGAAAAUUGAAAUUAAAACCAAAAAUGAUAAUGUUAGAUUUCUAAUAUCACUUUCUUGGAAAUCUACUUUCACAAGAAAGUGAUUUUGACUGGAUAUAUUUAAUUCCGAUAACCAAAUGACCCUGAAAAUAAAAUAUUUAAAGUGGAUUGGGACGCAAAUAUAUACCAAAUUUUGUGAAUAGCAAACCAAGUGGCAUUCCCAAAUGCAAAGCUGGAGGCAAGGAAAGAGAGAGAACAAGAAGCAUUUAGGUUACAUUUGGUAGAGCCUAAUAUAAUGUAAUGUGAUCAAUUAUGUAAUGCAAUCAAAAUUGUAAUGCAAUGUAAUUAUCAUUACAUCUCUCUGUUUGGUUGCAAAAUAAAAAUACAAGUAGUGUAAUGUAAUGAUAAUUUUUAUUUU
rnacentral:misc_RNA from 1 species